GGGGAAUGAAAGUGCCCAGAUGAUGGGAUGGUGAUAUGCCAUGGUCUGGAGCAACCUAGCCACAGAGCUAUUUCCAGCAUGUGUUUUUCCUACAAUUGAAGACAUAGAAAUAACAUGAGAACAGCAGCAGCAUAUCUAUACAGAGAAAACCAGACUUUCAGAUGAAGAUUCAUACAACCAGCACUGCACUGGAAAAACAAGUCAAGGGUUCACAAUUAUCCGAGUGAAACAGCAUCUCUUCUUGAGUGACAAGUGAAACAAUGAGAACAGAGAAGCAGAGACACAAAAAUGCCAAUUUAUUGCAUGUGAAGACAAUUUGCUAUGUACAGAGCACAGUGUACAAAUGGAGGAUGGUUUGAACCUCCCUUUAGGUCUUUUGCCGAAGGGAGUAUUAUUCAUUAUGCAAAAUCCACACAGCGGAAAUGGAAGCUCAGAACUAACUGCAA